CCCUCACCGUCAUCCGGGGGCAGAAGGCAACGCGCCUCAGGAUUUCUCUCUCCCACGUCAUCUUUCUCCCACUUCCACUAUAUCUCGCAUUCUCUCUCUUCUUCGUUCCUUCUCUCUUCCAAACCCUAUUUCUUGAUGCGCUUGUGAGGAGGUGGGAGAAGGUACAAGGCAUGGAGCGAAUUGUAGGCGGGAAGUAUAAGCUUGGGCGCAAGAUCGGGAGCGGAUCCUUCGGUGAGAUCUAUCUCGCGACCCACGUUGACACAUUCGAGAUCGUCGCAGUCAAGAUCGAGAACAGCAAGACCAAACACCCGCAGUUGCUUUAUGAGGCCAAGUUGUAUAACAUUCUUCAGGGUGGAAGUGGCAUAGCAAACAUAAAAUGGUGUGGUAUAGAUGGAGAUGACAAUAUUCUUGUUCUUGAUUUGCUUGGUCCAAGCCUUGAAGAUCUGUUUGUCUAUUGUGGUCGGAAGUUCUCCCUAAAGACAGUUCUAAUGCUGGCAGAUCAGAUGAUUACAAGAAUUGAGUAUGUUCAUUCAAAAGGGUUUUUACAUAGGGAUAUUAAACCUGAUAACUUUCUCAUGGGCCUUGGUCGGAAAGCAAACCAGGUAUACAUCAUUGACUUUGGUCUUGCAAAAAGAUAUCGGGACUCUACCACCAAUCGCCAUAUUCCAUACAGAGAAAACAAAAAUUUAACUGGUACUGCUCGCUAUGCAAGUUGCAACACUCAUCUGGGCAUAGAACAAAGCCGUCGGGAUGAUCUGGAAUCACUUGGUUAUGUUCUUCUGUAUUUUCUAAGAGGAAGUCUUCCAUGGCAGGGUCUAAAAGCAGCCACGAAAAAGCAGAAAUAUGAUAAAAUAUGUGAGAAAAAGCUUUCAACUCCUAUAGAGGUUCUAUGCAAGUCUCAUCCAGUGGAAUUUGCCUCCUACUUUCAUUACUGUCAUUCGUUGACAUUUGAUCAACGACCUGAUUAUGGAUUUCUGAAGCGCCUAUUCCGGGAUUUGUUCAGUCGUGAAGGUUAUGAGUUUGAUUAUAUCUUUGACUGGACCAUUUUGAAAUACCAGCAAUCACAAAGAACAAAAGCUCAGCCUCGAUUUUCGCCAGCCUCUGGUGGAAUGACUAGCCAAGCAAUCCCGAUGAAUGUCGACAAAUGUCAAGAGGCAAAUGAUGUCACCUAUCCAGAUAAUAGUGCAGAGCGCAUUGGACCAAGUAAUGCAGCACGUCCCACAGUUCACAUGCAGUUUAAAUCUCCAGCUGAUAAGAAUCUGAUUUCUGACAAUCAGCGUCUUGAGAAGAUGAGAGUGGGAACAAGUGCUGAAAAAGCACAGGUGCCAUCUACAUCAUUUGCUCUUCCUGGUGCUUCAAAAAGAAAUAUUCUAAGCUCAAAACAAUCUGGGCCAGCUGAUGUGUCACACCUUGGUCAGGGUUUGGGAAGCAACUUUGGUUCAUCCAGUAGUUGGAUUCCUACAUUGCAGCGAAAUGCUUCCGCCAAAUGAUCAGGAAGCUAGUAUGAUGCAAACAUGAAGGAUCUGAAUAACAGUUUACAUGUGCUGCGGAAAAUGGUACAAAGUGAUGAUUCCUCAAGUCACUUUCUAGAUAUCAGGAUGCAUACUGUAUGUUUAUUAAGUUUUCAGGUGCCAGUCUUCCAUCCUUUUGUGUAAGAGGCUUUCAUCAAGUAGCAGUACAUCUUUACCGUAAGUCAAUUACUGCAAUCUAGUCUUCUUCAGAGGAUGCUGUAAUGAUUGAAAAGGAGACAAUUUUGAAGAAACCUGGCUUUUUGUGUGGAGAAUAUAUAAACAGGUUUUCCAGAUUAUGAAGAGCCACAAGGUAGUCUUCGGUAGUGCACCAUGCUCCCUGCACCAUAGAGAGCCGAAUUAUUCUCUAUGAUUUCUGUGCAUAGUUCUGCAGAUUGAGAAAUGUCAUUGAGUUCUGUGAGUUUCUGAAAGAUUACCAUGGGAGAUGAAAGGGUUGAAAUCAUUCAUAGUGAUCAGGAAAGAUUUACUUUCCAGAAAAAAUACAAUUAAGCAAAAAAUCUAAAGAUUCUGAGGAUUCUGCUCUUAAAUACCUUCCAAAAUGAUCCAAACAAAUGAGAUUCUGCCAAAUUUCUCA